UGGGGAAUAUUGGACAAUGGAGGGAACUCUGAUCCAGCAAUUCUGUGUGUGUGAAGAAGGUUUUAGGACUGUAAAACACUUUUAGUAGGGAAGAAAAAAAUGACGGUACCUACAGAAGAAGCAACGGCUAAAUACGUGCCAGCAGCCGCGGUAAUACGUAUGUUGCGAGCGUUAUCCGGAAUUAUUGGGCUUAAAGGGCAUCUAGGCGGUAAGACAAGUUGAAGGUGAAAACCUGUGGCUCAACCAUAGGCUUGCCUACAAAACUGUUGAACUAGAGUACUGGAAAGGUGGGUGGAACUACACGAGUAGAGGUGAAAUUCGUAGAUAUGUGUAGGAAUGCCGAUGAUGAAGAUAACUCACUGGACAGAAACUGACGCUGAAGUGCGAAAGCUAGGGGAGCAUACAGG
rnacentral:rRNA from 1 species